AAACUAACAAGGAUUCCCCUAGUAACGGCGAGUGAAGCGGGAAGAGCUCAAAUUUGUAAUCUGGUACUUUCAGUGCCCGAGUUGUAAUCUCGAGAAGUGUUUUCCGCGCCGGACCGCAUACAAGUCUGUUGGAAUACAGCGUCAUAGUGGUGAGAACCCCGUAACUGAUGCGGACGCCCGGUGCUUUGUGAUACACUUUCGAAGAGUCGAGUUGUUUGGGAAUGCAGCUCAAAUUGGGUGGUAAAUUCCAUCUAAAGCUAAAUAUUGGCGAGAGACCGAUAGCGAACAAGUACCGUGAGGGAAAGAUGAAAAGCACUUUGGAAAGAGAGUUAACAGUACGUGAAAUUGUUGGAAGGGAAACGCUUGAAGUCAGACUUGCUAUUUGGAGUUCAGCCGCAAGGUGUAUUCUUCAAUUUGCAGGCCAGCAUCAGUUUUUGGGGGUGGAAAAGGGUAUUGAGAAGGUAGCAGUUUCGGCUGUGUUAUAGCUCUUUACUGGAUUCAUCCUUGGGGACUGAGGAAUGCAGCGCGCUUUUUGCAAGGCUCUCGGGCUUUUCGCGCUUAGGAUGCUGGUAGAAUGGCUUUAAACGAC
rnacentral:rRNA from 1 species